AUUAAAAUCAAAUAAAAGGAGUAUACAAAAUGUCGAUUAAAGUGAAAAGCAAUAAGAUCCAACUCUGAUUUCAUCUAAAG